rnacentral:rRNA from 1 species
AACGAACGCUGGCGGCAUGCCUAACACAUGCAAGUCGAACGGAACCUUCGGGUUUAGUGGCGCCUGGAUGCGUAACGCGUGGGAACACGCCCUUAGAUUCGGAACAUCUCUCCGAGAGGGCUUCUAAUAACUGAUAAUGUCUUCGGACCAAAGAUGUAUCGCCUUUGGGUGGGGCCGCGUUGGUUUAGCUAGUUGGUUGGGUUAAAGCCUACCAAGGCGACGAUCCAGAGCUGGUCUGAGAGCAGGAUCAGCGAGACUGGGACUGAGACACGGCCCAGACUGCUACGAGAGGCAGCGGUGGUGGAUAUUGGGGUAGGAGCGAGAUGCUGAUACAGCGAGGGCGGGUGAGUGAUGAAGGCCUUGGGAUUGGAAAGCGCUUUUAACGGGGAUGAGAAUGACGGUACCGGGUAAAGAAGCACCGGCUAACUCCGUG